rnacentral:rRNA from 1 species
ACGGAGGAUCCAAGCGUUAUCCGGAUUCAUUGGGUUUAAAGGGUGCGUAGGCGGCUCUUUAAGUCAGUGGUGAAAUCUGGUCGCUCAACGAUCGAAUUGCCAUUGAUACUGCAGAGCUUGAGUUCAGUGGAGGUAAGCGGAAUGUGUAGUGUAGCGGUGAAAUGCUUAGAUAUUACACAGAACACCGAUUGCGAAGGCAGCCUACUAAAAUGGCACUGACGCUGAUGCACGAAAGCGUGGGGAUCGAACAG